rnacentral:rRNA from 1 species
GUCAGCUCGUGUCGUGAGAUGUUGGGUUAAGUCCCGCAACGAGCGCAACCCUUGAUCUUAGUUGCCAGCACUUUGGGUGGGCACUCUAGGAUGACUGCCGGUGACAAACCGGAGGAAGGUGGGGAUGACGUCAAAUCAUCAUGCCCCUUAUGACCUGGGCUACACACGUACUACAAUGGCCGGUACAACGGGAAGCGAAAGGGCGACCUGGAGCCAAUCCUACCAAAGCCGGUCUCAGUUCGGAUUGCAGGCUGCAACUCGCCUGCAUGAAGUCGGAAUUGCUAGUAAUCGCGGAUCAGCAUGCCGCGGU